AAAUGAAAUUUAAAGCAGUUUUACUUUGUGCUGAGUUGUGGAAGUUUGUGUGCGUGUAAUUUACGUGAAAAUCACGUAUUUAUUAUUAUCGCGUCGCGCUCGCCAGGAUUUGGCAGUUUCUAGUGCAAAACCAAGGUGUUUUUUACCAUAGGUGCGAUUGUGUGUUAUUUUUUACGUCGCCUUUGGAAAUGGGUUUUGAAGAAUCGCUCCAAGUGCCCUAGAAUAAUAUUGAACAAAAUGGACGGAAACGCAUUAAUCGAAGGUGAAACUUUGUAAUUAAAAGUUACGCGCGGCGGUAAGGGUAAUUUCAAGUACGUUUGGCGUACCACCUGUUACAAAUAAAUUUGUAGCAUUGACACAAUUGCGCGCGCGAAAAAUACCGAUGUGAUGAAAAUGUUCGAUAAUUUAAUUACGCGAAUAACGAGCCCCAACACGCGUCGACGUCACACGUACCACUGUCCCGAGAUACACUCCGAUCCCGAAGAUAAUGACCCGAUCACGCCCAGAAAACCCAGAAUUUUGGAACGGAGAAGGAAGGGCCGGAAGCUCGUCGAAAUCGGGCUGCGGCAGGCGAGAAGCCUAGGGAGACUGGAUGGAAUUAAGGAGACAUGGAAACAAUAACAAAGAAAAAGUGUAAGCGUGACUGACAAACGCAUAAACACAAAUGGUAAUUGAAGACUUAACUAUUUCUGUAAAUUAUCACAAACAUAUGGAAACAAUUGACAAAAGGCAUGAACAUGCGAAGUAUAAAUAAGUUAAAAUACAAAAUUGUGUGUUGUGGCAAUAAAUGAGUGUCAUAUGGACAGAUUCCGUAGG